CGCGUAGGCGGCUUUAUAAGUCUGGAGUGAAAGUCCUCUUUUCAAGGGAGGAAUUGCUUUGGAAACUAUAGAGCUUGAGUGCAGGAGAGGUUAUCGGAAUUCCCGGUGUAGCGGUGAAAUGCGUAGAUAUCGGGAGGAACAUCGGUGGCGAAGGCGGAUAACUGGACUGCAACUGACGCUGAGGCGCGAAAGUGUGGGGAGCAAACA
rnacentral:rRNA from 1 species